rnacentral:rRNA from 1 species
GACGAACGCUGGCGGCGCGCUUAACACAUGCAAGUCGAGCGAGGCGGCGGACGGGUGAGUAACACGUGAGUAACCUGCCUUAGACAUUGGGCUAGCCUCGGGAAACCGGGAUUAAUACCAAAUGGUCUAAGAUGGACGCGCUGCCCAUUAGCUAGUUGGUGGGUAACGGCCCACCAAGGCGACGAUGGGUAGCCGGCCUGAGAGCGUGAACGUGCUCAUUGGUACUGAGAGACGGCCCAAAAUCAACGGGCGGCAACAGUCGAAAAUAUUGCACAAUGAGGCAAACCCUGAUGCAGAAACGCCGCGUGCGGGAUGAUGGCCUUCGGGUUAUAAACCGCUUCACAACGAGGCUCGGUAGUGGCAGAAGAAGCAACGGCUAACUACGUGCCAGCAGCCGCGGUAAUAC